CUGGCGGCGUGCCUAAUACAUGCAAGUCGAGCGAAUCAAUAGGAGCUUGCUCCUGUUGGUUAGCGGCGGACGGGUGAGUAAUGCGUAAGAAUCUGCCCUUCAGUGAAGGAUACCCUCGAGAAAUCGGGGGUUAAUACUGCAUACGUCCCUUCGGGGAGAAAGAUGGCCUCUUGCUGUCGCUGAUGGAUGAGCUUGCGUGCUAUUAGCUUAUUGGUGGGUAAAGGCCUACCAAGGCGAUGAUGGCUAGCUGGCCUGAGAGGGUGUACGGCCACACUGGAACUUAGACACGGUCCAGACUCCUACGGGAGGCAGCAGUGGGGAAUUUUGCGCAAUGGGCGAAAGCCUGACGCAGCAACGCCGCGUGGGGGAUGAAGGCCUUAGGGUCGUAAACUCCUGUUAAGUGGGAAGAAAGGCUUGUUCUUAAUACGGACAAGAAAUGACGGUACCAUUAGAGAAAGCACCGGCUAACUUCGUG
rnacentral:rRNA from 1 species